rnacentral:misc_RNA from 1 species
AAGUCGUAACAAGGUUUCCGUAGGUGAACCUGCGGAAGGAUCAUUAGUGAAUAAACUUGUGUGGGUUGUUGCUGGCCUCCUCGGAGGUAUGUGCACGCCUGCCAUUGUUUCAUUCCCCUUCCACCUGUGCACUUUUUGUAGACCAGCUUGUCACUUUUCGGGUUGCUCGCAUCCCGGUUAUGAGGAUUUGCUCUGGCUGUCCUUGGUUGUCAGCGGUCUAUGUCUUUUAUCAACUCUGUAUGUGUAAACGAAUGUUUGUUCUGGGUUCUAUACCCAUAAAAUCUAUACAACUUUCAACAACGGAUCUCUUGGCUCUC